rnacentral:lncRNA from 1 species
AAAAAGCCGCUGCAUGCUUUAUGCAAAACCUUCUUCAUUUGUUGUGUGCAAAUCAUCGUUACGUCGCCCCCAUGUUUCCCGUGCAGUAUCACCUGUUUCUCCUUACUGUAAAAUUUUAUAAUUAGUUUCAUAAAAUUCCAAGAAAAAUCACCUAAUGUUGUCAACCAUUUAAUUCUGAGCAUGGCCUCAUGAUCAUCAAGAGGAAGAAGGAAGAAAUCUGCAAUUAUCUCUUGGUCCUGCAGCAAUAGUUUCUCCUGCGGGCGCCUACGAUCACACUUCAAAAUCUGUCUGUCGGUGACCUUAACAUCAAACUUGCAGUG